GCACUGCCGAGGAGUCCCAUAAUAAGACGAAACGGUCGUUCAGUGC
rnacentral:hammerhead_ribozyme from 1 species